ensembl:lncRNA
CACUGUGUGACGUAUUCAUCAGGAUCACAGAAGAUUUUAUUUGGCAGAGGAACUAAACUGAUUAUUACCAACAGUGAAUCGUCUGAGCCGUCCUACUACAGGCUGAGUGGACAAGAUGAAAAAGGGAAAAACAUCUCGGCCUGCCUGGCCAGCGACUUCAGCGACUUCAACACCACUAGAGACAGUGUGCUGUUCAAUGGGACGGAGGCGACCCGGAUGGAGGGAGACCGUUUCUACAGCCAGGUGGCGCUGUACAAGCCAGAGGACGGGCAGGAUUGCCCGGAAACAUCUGGACCCGGCUGUGGCGGUGGACUCUUCAGCCCAGACGUGGGGGUGA